GCUGCAGACUGAUGAGGCUUAGGCUGGUUGGAAGACACGCCAACUUGGAACAGAAAAAAAUACUUAAUUCGCAAAGCAAGGGAAGGUUUCCAAAGCAGUCAGAAAGUUCUUUAGAACCAAUGGCUGGCUGCAGGAGAGCUUGAAAUCAGGGUAAAACUAUCUGAGGAUUUGCAUGUAUUCAUCAAGGUGUAUGCUCUGUUCUGAUCAGAUCUGCCUAUAUGUCCUGUUCUUAUUUGUUGGACUUGAUUAAUCACUCUUGUUGUUCAAAAUAAAUGGUUUUGUUUUUGUAA